GGUGGUUCUCAGGUGACACACUCCAGAAUUGGGCUCCCUCCUUUCUGGUUCUGGGUGUGUCACCCAAGAACCACA
rfam:Myotis lucifugus cont2.9403, whole genome shotgun sequence.